rnacentral:rRNA from 1 species
AUUGAACGCUGGCGGCAUGCCUUACACAUGCAAGUCGAACGGCAGCACGGGGGCAACCCUGGUGGCGAGUGGCGAACGGGUGAGUAAUGCAUCGGAACGUGCCCAGUAGUGGGGGAUAACUAGUCGAAAGAUUAGCUAAUACCGCAUACGACCUAUGGGUGAAAGCGGGGGAGUUCGCAAGAACCUCGCGCUAUCGGAGCGGCCGAUGUCUGAUUAGCUAGUUGGCGGGGUAAAAGCCCACCAAGGCGACGAUCAGUAGCUGGUCUGAGAGGACGACCAGCCACACUGGGACUGAGACACGGCCCAGACUCCUACGGGAGGCAGCAGUGGGGAAUUUUGGACAAUGGGCGCAAGCCUGAUCCAGCCAUGCCGCGUGCGGGAAGAAGGCCU